rnacentral:rRNA from 1 species
CUCGGUGCCUUCGGCGAGAGGGUCACACCCGUUCCCAUCCCGAACACGGCAGUUAAGCCUCUCAGCGCCGAUGAUAGUCCUUCGGGGCGACAGUAGGUCGGUGCCGAGA